AGCUUUGCGCAGUGGCAGUAUCGUAGCCAAUGAGGUUUAUCCGAGGCGCGAUUAUUGCUAAUUGAAAGCAAGACAACAUUCCUAUUCACUCUGCCUAUUUCUGUUGUCCUGGAUAAGAACUAGUGAGAAGUUCAAAGAAA